rnacentral:rRNA from 1 species
AUACGUAGGGCGCGAGCGUUGUCCGGAAUUACUGGGUGUAAAGGGUGCGUAGGCGGGACCGCAAGUCAGAUGUGAAAUGCCGGGGCUCAACCCCGGAGCUGCAUUUGAAACUGUGGUUCUUGAGUGAGGUAGAGGUAAGCGGAAUUCCUAGUGUAGCGGUGAAAUGCGUAGAUAUUAGGAGGAACAUCGGUGGCGAAGGCGGCUUACUGGGCCUUUACUGACGCUGAGGCACGAAAGCGUGGGGAGCAAACAGGAUUAGAUACCCUGGUAGUCCACGCUGUAAACGAUGAUGACUAGGUGUGGGGGGACUGAACCCUUCCGUGCCGCAGUUAACACAAUAAGUCAUCCACCUGGGGAGUACGGCCGCAAGGUUGAAACUCAAAUGAAUUGACGGGG